rnacentral:lncRNA from 1 species
CCAUGGCCCAUGCCUUUGACCACUCCUGACUUGAACCACAUCUUAUUUUAGCUGCAGAUGUGAUGAGCAGUUCCUUUAACCAGUGAGGACUUCCUGUCUUAAGGCUCCUCAGCUCCUCUGCUUCAGAACUUUCUGCAAAACUGCAGAACCCACUUGGCCAAGUAUGGAGGAAUUAAUGUGAGGCUGGGAAGAAGGAGGAAGCAAAGGGAUCGAGUCACAGGAUGGCACCUGAGCAUCCCUGUCUCAGCUCAGGACUCCUUGCUGAGCUUCCUCCUACAGCUGAAGAGGUACUGUGAAAGAGAUGCCUACAUUGGAGCAUUCUGGACAAGAUGACCUUCCCUUCUGUGAACCAUAAUGAGCAUAUCCAACAUAGUCAAUCUCUACCCUUCUACCUCCAACAUCAUUUUCUCUUUCCUUAUUUGUUUUAAUUUUUAAUACACUUAAUACAACUGACAUUAAAGCAUCUAUUUAUAUUUGUUGUCUGUUUCUUACACUGGAAUGUACAUUCCAUGAGGCCAGGGACUUGGUCUUGUUUACAUCUGUAUCAAUGCCUAAAAUAGCAAUUUUUUUCAAUGGAUGGAUGGACAGGUGUAAAGCGAUGGAUGGACAGCUAAGGUGGUAAAG